rnacentral:rRNA from 1 species
GCUACGGGAGGCAGCAGUGAGGAAUAUUGGUCAAUGGCCGAGAGGCUGAACCAGCCAAGUCGCGUGAGGGAUGACGGCCCUACGGGUUGUAAACCUCUUUUGUCGGGGAGCAAAGAGAGUCACGUGUGGCUCAUUGAGAGUACCCGAAGAAAAAGCAUCGGCUAACUCCGGUCCAGCAGCCGCGGUAAUACGGGGGAUGCGAGCGUUAUCCGGAGUUAGUGGGUUUAAAGGGUGCGCGGGAGGAGGGGCAAGUCAGUGGUAAAAUGGCGGGGCUAAACCCCGUACUGCAGUUGAAACUGGAACCCGAGAGUGAGCGAGAGGGAUGCGGAAUGCGUGGUGUAGCGGUGAAAUGCAUAGAGAUCACGAAGAACUCCGAUUGCGAAGGCAGCAUACCGGCGCGCAACUGACGCUCAUGCACGAAAGCGUGGGUAUCGAACAGGAUUAGAUACCCGAGUAGUC